GAUUUCUGGUUUGAUGCGUUUGGCCCUCUCGGAGCAAUCCGGCGUGCGUGCCGAUGCGCGUCUGCCAUCCCUUGUAGAGAACGUUUCUACCCUUCACUGGGCCGGAUUCGCAAUCUACAUCUUUUACUUUGAAAAAAUUAGAGUGUUUAAAGCAGGCUUGUGCUAUGAAUACAUUAGCAUGGAAUAAUAAUUUAGGACUUCUUCCUAUUUUAUUGGUUUCUAGGGAUGAAGUAAUGAUUGAUAGGGAUAGUUGGGGGUGCUAGUAUUCAUCGGCCAGAGGUGAAAUUCUUGGAUUCGAUGAAGACUAACUAAUGCGAAAGCAUU
rnacentral:rRNA from 1 species